rnacentral:misc_RNA from 1 species
GGCGGCAGCAGCUUCAAUCAGCAGGCAGGCACCUUCCUCCACAGCGGCCGCAGUCACAAUCACAGCAACAAGCUAAACUAUUUAAGGGAGUUGGCAGAGGGAACAUGACGAUGCACCAGAACUUGCAGGUAGAUCCUUCUCUAAUGAAUGAGCUUUCUAGCAAUCAGGCGAAUCAAUCUGCUGAGAAAGGUGAGCAAGCUACUAGCUUGAUGCAAGGUCAUGGACUAUAUUCUGGGUCAGCACACGGUCCUGUCCAGAUUGGAAAACAAGCUAUGGCACCUCAUUCUUCAAGUCAGUUGCAACAGCCCCAGCCUAAGAUUUAC